rnacentral:miRNA from 1 species
GGUCCCCAACCCAGUCCUCAUGGACCACCAACAGUCCAGGAUUUAUGUAUUUCCCUGUUUUAUUCCAACGGAGAUGCUGACAAAACCUGGACUGUUGGUGGUCUGUGAGGACUGGGUUCGGGAC